UACGGAGGGUGCAAGCGUUAAUCGGAAUUACUGGGCGUAAAGCGCGCGCAGGCGGUCUUCUACGUCUGGGGUGAAACCCCGGGGCUUAACCCCGGGCCUGCAUUCGAUACGGGCUGACUAGAGUUCGGCAGGGGAGACUGGAAUUCCUGGUGUAGCGGUGAAAUGCGCAGAUAUCAGGAGGAACACCGGUGGCGAAGGCGGGUCUCUGGGCCGAUACUGACGCUGAGGAGCGAAAGCGUGGGGAGCGAACAGG
rnacentral:rRNA from 1 species